UACGUAGGGGGCAAGCGUUGUCCGGAAUCAUUGGGCGUAAAGAGCGUGUAGGCGGCCAGCUAAGUCCGCUGUGAAAUCUCGAGGCUCAACUUCGAGCUGUCGGUGGAAACUGUCUGGCUAGAGUCCGGAAGAGGAGAAUGGAAUUCCUGGUGUAGCGGUGAAAUGCGCAGAUAUCAGGAAGAGCACCCGUGGCGAAGGCGGUUCUCUGGGACGGUACUGACGCUGAGACGCGAAAGCGUGGGGAGCGAACAGG
rnacentral:rRNA from 1 species